AAUAAAAAAUUUAAAAUUCGUAUAAGCCUAAAAUAUGGAAGGGUGUCUCUACGGUUGACCGCAAAUUAACCAACUACGAAAAAUAUUUUUAC
rnacentral:ncRNA from 1 species